GCAGCUGCUCCUCCAACCUUAUCUUCCCUCUGCCUCCAUGGAAACCUGAGAAAGACGGAAAGGGGGAAGUGGCUUGGUUUCCCAACACAAAUAACCCCAACAGAGCUUUCUCAGCAGUGACCCUUAGCCUGUUGUGUCAGCCUCAGGCUGAAGGAGGAAGGAAAUAGACCUUCUAUUGAGUAUUUUUCUUCCCCUGUCAAGAAGAUCAGAGGAGCUGAGACGAGAAAAGAAAAGGAGUCAAAAGCACCUUGUUGCCUCCUCCUGCAGGAUUUGUGUUGCUCUUCCCCUCCCCUCUUGAGCUCUAAGUAAACAGACUCCCCAGCUGAGGAAGGCCCCGGGCCCAACUCGAGCAGGCCAUAAAUAAGAGCCCUUCAGCCUCUGGCUCUCGGAACAAUCUUUGCAAUGGAACCAGACCAGAGUUCCCUGCGCUCCUCUGGGAGGCUCCAGGCUAUUGCUGGCAUAUCUUCCAGGGUUAGAGGAGCUGGGGAGGUCUCCCUGCUUCGAUUCCUGCCUCAACACAGAGUCCAAAAGGUGGCAGAGAGGCACAAAGGAGGCAAAGUCACCUGCUGAAACCGAAGGCCAGAGGAGAACCAGGCACUCCAGAAGGGAGAAGAGUUUCUAUAUAGCUCUGGUGGGGAAUGUGCUCAAAAUGGCCAGGAGAUGAUUAAAACUGCCCAGCUCCGGAGAGAGACAAAAAAGCCGUGAUGUGGCCCUUUGGCACGGCCCAGAGUUCUGCCAGAUGGACUUGGUGUGUCUCUGCGAGGCAGAGGCUCCCGAAGGUCAGUGAAGAUGGCAGUAGGGCCAGGCUGGACAUGACUCAAGCCCAUAGGACUGGGUAACAGGAGGCCCAAAGCAGCUGGGGCACUGGGGGAGGGUGGGUGGAAGCAGUGGGUGGUUGUCAGCGAGCAGAGGAUGAGGACGCAUGGUGGCCACAGAGAGGGAGCUCCUGGAGUGAGGACA